AUUGAACGCUGGCGGCAUGCUUUACACAUGCAAGUCGAACGGCAGCACGGGGGCAACCCUGGUGGCGAGUGGCGAACGGGUGAGUAAUGCAUCGGAACGUGCCCAGUUGUGGGGGAUGACCAGUCGAAAGACUGGCUAAUACCGCAUACGACCCAAGGGUGAAAGAGGGGGACCGUAAGGCCUCGCGCUAUUGGAGCGGCCGAUGUCUGAAUAGCUAGUUGGCGGGGUAAGAGCCCACCAAGGCGACGAUCAGUAGCUGGUCUGAGAGGACGACCAGCCACACUGGGACUGAGACACGGCCCAGACUCCUACGGGAGGCAGCAGUGGGGAAUUUUGGACAAUGGGCGCAAGCCUGAUCCAGCCAUGCCGCGUGCGGGAAGAAGGCCUUCGGGUUGUAAACCGCUUUUGGCAGGAACGAAACGGCGCAAGCCAAUACCUUGCGCUAAUGACGGUACCUGCAGAAUAAGCACCGGCUAACUACGUGCCAGCCGCCGCGGUAAAAC
rnacentral:rRNA from 1 species